rnacentral:rRNA from 1 species
CCUACGGGUGACAGCAGUGGGGAAUCUUGGGCAAUGGGCGCAAGCCUGACCCAGCAACGCCGCGUGAAGGAAGAAGGCUCUCGGGUUGUAAACUUCUUUUUAGAGGGAAGAGCAGAAGACGGUACCUCUUGAAUAAGCGAUGGCUAACUACGGGCCAGCAGCCGGGGCAAUACGGAGGGGGCAAGCGUUGUCCGGGUUUCCUGGGUGUAAAGGGCGUGCAGCCGGGAAGACAAGUCAGAUGUGAAAUCCCGCGGCUCAACCGCGGAACUGCAUUUGAAACUGUCUUUCUUGUGUACCGGAGAGGUCAUCGGAAUUCGUUGUGUAGCGGUGAAAUGCGUAGAUAUAAGGAAGAACACCAGUGGCGAAGGCGGAUGACUGGACGGCAACUGACGGUGAGGCGCGAAAGCGUGGGGAGCGAACAGGAUUAGAUACCCUAGUAGUC